GGCAGUGUAGCCUAGUGGGUAAGGAACCGGUCUUGUAACCUAAAGGUCACAGGUUUGAUUCCUGGUUGGACACUGCCG
rnacentral:tRNA from 1 species